rnacentral:rRNA from 1 species
GACAGAGGUGCCAAGCGUUAGGCGGAAUCACUGGGCUUAAAGCGUGUGUAGGCGGAUGCCUAAGUACCUUGUGAAAUCCCACGGCUCAACCGUGGAACUGCUGGGUAUACUGGGUGUCUUGGGUCAGCUAGGGGUUGCCGGAACAAAUGGUGGAGCGGUGAAAUGCGUAGAUAUCAGGAGGAACACCAAUGGCGAAGGCAGCUCUCUGGUACGUGACUGACGCUGAGACGCGAAAGCGUGGGAGCGAACAGG